rnacentral:rRNA from 1 species
AACGGCCAUAACAUGCUGAAUAUACCGGUUCUCGUUAGAUCACCGAAGUCAAGCAUCAUUGGGCGCGGUCAGUACUUGUGUUGGUGACCACCUGGGAACACCCCGUGCCGUU